rnacentral:rRNA from 1 species
CCUACGGGAGGCAGCAGUGGGGAAUAUUGCACAAUGGGCGCAAGCCUGAUGCAGCAACGCCGCGUGAGGGACGACGGCCUUCGGGUUGUAAACCUCUUUUAGCAGGGAAGAAGCGAAAGUGACGGUACCUGCAGAAAAAGCACCGGCUAACUACGUGCCAGCAGCCGCGGUAAUACGUAGGGUGCAAGCGUUAUCCGGAAUUAUUGGGCGUAAAGAGCUCGUAGGCGGUUUGUCGCGUCUGCUGUGAAAACUGGGGGCUCAACCCCCAGCCUGCAGUGGGUACGGGCAGACUAGAGUGCGGUAGGGGAGAUUGGAAUUCCUGGUGUAGCGGUGGAAUGCGCAGAUAUCAGGAGGAACACCGAUGGCGAAGGCAGAUCUCUGGGCCGUAACUGACGCUGAGGAGCGAAAGGGUGGGGAGCAAACAGGCUUAGAUACCCUGGUAGUCCACCCCGUAAACGUUGGGAACUAGUUGUGGGGUCCAUUCCACGGAUUCCGUGACGCAGCUAACGCAUUAAGUUCCCCGCCUGGGGAUACGGCCGCAAGGCUAAAACUUAAGGAAUUGACGG